GAUGAACGCUGGCGGCGUGCCUAAUACAUGCAAGUCGAGCGAACGGACGAGAAGCUUGCUUCUCUGAUGUUAGCGGCGGACGGGUGAGUAACACGUGGAUAACCUACCUAUAAGACUGGGAUAACUUCGGGAAACCGGAGCUAAUACCGGAUAAUAUUUUGAACCGCAUGGUUCAAAAGUAAAAGACGGUCUUGCUGUCACUUAUAGAUGGAUCCGCGCUGCAUUAGCUAGUUGGUAAGGUAACGGCUUACCAAGGCAACGAUGCAUAGCCGGCCUGAGAGGGUGAUCGGCCACACUGGAACUGAGACACGGUCCAGACUCCUACGGGAGGCAGCAGUAGGGAAUCUUCCGCAAUGGGCGAAAGCCUGACGGAGCAACGCCGCGUGAGUGAUGAAGGUCUUCGGAUCGUAAAACUCUGUUAUUAGGGAAGAACAUAUGUGUAAGUAACUGUGCACAUCUUGACGGUACCUAAUCAGAAAGCCACGGCUAACUACGUGCCAGCAGCCGCGGUAAUACGUAGGUGGCAAGCGUUAUCCGGAAUUAUUGGGCGUAAAGCGCGCGUAGGCGGUUUUUUAAGUCUGAUGUGAAAGCCCACGGCUCAACCGUGGAGGGUCAUUGGAAACUGGAAAACUUGAGUGCAGAAGAGGAAAGUGGAAUUCCAUGUGUAGCGGUGAAAUGCGCAGAGAUAUGGAGGAACACCAGUGGCGAAGGCGACUUUCUGGUCUGUAACUGACGCUGAUGUGCGAAAGCGUGGGGAUCAAACAGGAUUAGAUACCCUGGUAGUCCACGCCGUAAACGAUGAGUGCUAAGUGUUAGGGGGUUUCCGCCCCUUAGUGCUGCAGCUAACGCAUUAAGCACUCCGCCUGGGGAGUACGACCGCAAGGUUGAAACUCAAAGGAAUUGACGGGGACCCGCACAAGCGGUGGAGCAUGUGGUUUAAUUCGAAGCAACGCGAAGAACCUUACCAAAUCUUGACAUCCUUUGACAACUCUAGAGAUAGAGCCUUCCCCUUCGGGGGACAAAGUGACAGGUGGUGCAUGGUUGUCGUCAGCUCGUGUCGUGAGAUGUUGGGUUAAGUCCCGCAACGAGCGCAACCCUUAAGCUUAGUUGCCAUCAUUAAGUUGGGCACUCUAAGUUGACUGCCGGUGACAAACCGGAGGAAGGUGGGGAUGACGUCAAAUCAUCAUGCCCCUUAUGAUUUGGGCUACACACGUGCUACAAUGGACAAUACAAAGAGCAGCGAAACCGCGAGGUCAAGCAAAUCCCAUAAAGUUGUUCUCAGUUCGGAUUGUAGUCUGCAACUCGACUACAUGAAGCUGGAAUCGCUAGUAAUCGUAGAUCAGCAUGCUACGGUGAAUACGUUCCCGGGUCU
rnacentral:rRNA from 1 species